CCAGGAGGGGGAACCAAAACAAGCAAAGUUCAGGCCAAGCCCUUCCCCUUUCAUGUCCUCUGAGUAUCCAAAGGCCAUGGAUGAAACAGACAGUUUCUUCAUGCUGGAGCCAACAGAGCACACCAAUGGCUCCUUUCUGGCUGUUCUUACCAGAGUGCCUGAGCCAGCAGUCAAAGAGGCACCAAACGAGGUGAUCGCCAGGGCAAAUGCAAAAGGCAUACUGGACAAACUGGGCUCCAACCACCUUACUAGAAAAGAACAACACGAAAACAGCAGCAGGAUGAAAAAAGCAGCCAGUGUUCGCACUACCCAGUCCCAGCUCUCUGUCAGCAUUCAGCCCAAGCAUCAUCAGACCAAGAGGAGUGACAGCGCUGUGCUCUGUGGACAUCAGGAUUUUACUAACAUGAAGCAGUCUUCACAAGAAAAACCCAAAUCACUGCGCUUGCAAGCCACAAAGGGCACCACAUCAAGCUCGUUCUCUUACUCCAGACCAGAAUGCAACAGCGCUUCCUGUUCCUCCUCCAAACUAGAAAAAAGCU
ensembl:lncRNA